rnacentral:rRNA from 1 species
CUACGGGGCGCAGCAGUGAGGAAUUUUGCGCAAUGGGGGGAACCCUGACGCAGCAACGCCGCGUGAGUGAUGAAGGCUUUCGGGUCGUAAAGCUCUGUCAAGUGGGAAGAACCUAUGCAGUGUUAAUAUCACUGUAUACUGACGGUACCACUGAAGGAAGCACCGGCUAACUCCGUGCCAGCAGCCGCGGUAAUACGGGGGGUGCAAGCGUUAUUCGGAAUCAUUGGGCGUAAAGGGCACGUAGGCGGCUUGGUAAGUCAGAUGUGAAAGCCCGGGGCUUAACCCCGGAAGUGCAUUUGAUACUGUCAGGCUUGAGUAUGGGAGAGGGAAGUGGAAUUCCAGGUGUAGAGGUGAAAUUCGUAGAUAUCAGGAGGAACACCGGUGGCGAAGGCGACUUCCUGGACCAAUACUGACGCUGAGGUGCGAAGGCGUGGGUAGCAAACAGGAUUAGAUACCCCCGUAGUC